CGGCGGGAGCGUGCGCGACCGUGGGCGCCGGGUCACGUUGGGCGGUGUAGACAACGGCGGGCGCGCGCACGUCCUGACUCAGCCUGGGCCCGCGGAGGCGACGAGAGCUGGAGGAAGCGGUGGCCGAGCCUUGUGGUCGGAAUCAUUGCAAAGGAUCCCACUUCACUAGAAGAAGAGAUCAAGAAGAUUCGUCGAGUGGCAGUAGUAAGGCUCUGGACAACACUCCGGAGUUGGCGCUCUCUGACAUUUUCUACUUCUGCUGGAAAGGAAUGGAGACCAUUAUGGAUGAUGAGGUGACAGAAAGAUUCUCAGCAGAGGAACGGGAAUCCUGGAACCUGCUGAGCAGAACCAAUUAUAACUUGCAUUCCAUCAGCCUUCGGCUCACGGUCCUGUGGGGGUUAGGAGUGCUGAUUCGCUACUGCUUCCUGCUGCCACUCAGGUGAGACAGGGCCUGUGGGAAGCGGGGCUUGCUGCUGCCCCCCAUCCUGGUGCACGGCCACCUGCCUGCUCUGCUUGUGUUCCUGUUUUAGAAAGGAGGAGGGGAUGACUGUCACUGGCCAGGCCACAUGACUCCUUGGAGGGGUACACCAGUCAUUCUCUUUCAGAGGCCCUUGGAUGCUCUGCAAAUCAGAUAGAAAUAGUUGCAUUUCUUAAAGACAGCUUGCUUGUCUAGAUGAUAGCAAACACACAGACAGGAACAUCGUGUGCUUUCUGGCCACUCCUCCCUGGGCAUGGCUCAUUCUUUCCUGAAGCUUGCCUCUCGAGUACAGAGGCGGUAUUGGUCUCUCAGCUUCUCUGUACCGUGUGCUGUUCUGAGUGUGUCUCACCAGGUGCUGGUACCUUCAGCCUUCACCUCCUCUUGCUUCAGAGGGAAGCUGUGCUUCCACUGGGGUUUCUAGCCAAAGGGAAGGGGAGGGCAGCAGGGAGCAGCCCUGCAGCAGAACGGCCAGCUUAGGGAUUUUCCAGCCUUCCAGUUGCCUGAGGCCUCAGGAGAUGCUGGCAGCCGAGAGCCAGACCCACAGCGCACUGUCAGCUGGAAUUGAAAGGAUCUCUGGUUCUGAUAGGCCUGCUCGCAUUUCUAGGUGAACUCUGGUCCAGGUCCCGAGUGAUCAGGUCUUGGGGGUGGUUUUUGUGAUGCCCACUUUGAUGUUCACACCUUCGGCUCUGUACUUACAGGAUAGCGCUGGCUUUCACAGGGAUUAGCCUUCUGGUGGUGGGCACAACUGUGGUGGGAUACUUGCUGAAUGGGAGGUGAGUAGAGAAUGGGAGUCCACGCCUAAAGGGCAGUUCAUUCUGGGAAUGGUGCUCACAUAUCAAAGGCCAGGCCACUUCUUUGUACGCAGCCAAAUUCGUGGAAUCUCAGAUGGAUUAAAUAACCCACUGGUGGCCGGGCAUGGUGGCUCACGCCUGUUAUCCUAGCACUUUGGGAGGCCAAGGUGGGCCGAUCACCUGAGGUCAGACAUUCGAGACCAGCUUGGCCAACAUGGAGAAACCCCAUCUCUACUAAAAAUACGAAAAUUAGCUGGGCGUGGUGGCAGGUACCUGUAAUCUCAGCUACUUGGGAGGUGGAGGCAGGACAGUCCUUCAACCUGGGAGUCAGAGGUUGCAGUGAGCUGAGAUUGCACCACUGCACUCCAGCCUGGGUGACAGAGCGAGAAUGUGUCUCAAAAUAAGAACAAUAAUCACACAAUGAUAACAGUGGCAUCAGCAGUUAAGUCUUUACUUUUUUGAUUUUGAUCUAUGACUGUGUUCUUUUUGCUCUUCAGCCCUCACAUUUUUCCCAUUUUAAAGACAAAAGAGAGAAGCCACAAACAUUUGGAGUCUGAAACUGAGAUUUUAUAGCUUGUUUAGUUUUGAGCAUUUGACUGUGUGGAUAAAGUGGUGAGACGAUACUGUUUGUAAAAUGGUCUGAAAUGUCGGGAGGCUUUGUCUGUUUAUGAAGAAUAUUUUCCUCCCUUCAGGAAGUUCUGGGACUUGGAAACCUUUCCUCUGCCCGGGCUGGUGCGGUGGUUGGCCUCUGGCCUUGGGCCUGCCCCUGGGUGUUGACGUGGGGAACGGAGUUCCGCCCACCUGUGGUCUCCAGAUGCCAGAUUCUAGGCUGUGAAUUCUCCACCAGCUGACUUGGGUGCAUGUUUAAGGAGUUCGUGAGUAAACAUGUUCACUCAAUGUGUCACCGGAUCUGUGUGCGAGCGCUGACAGCCAUCAUCACCUACCACGACAGGGAAAACAGACCGAGAAACGGUGGCAUCUGUGUGGCUAAUCACACCUCGC